rnacentral:rRNA from 1 species
UAAUACGGAGGAUGCAAGCGUUAUCCGGAUUCAUUGGGUUUAAAGGGUGCGUAGGCGGGGCGGUAAGUCAGUGGUGAAAGCCUGCAGCUUAACUGUAGAAUUGCCAUUGAUACUGUCGCUCUUGAAUGCGGUUGAGGCAGGCGGAAUGUGUAAUGUAGCGGUGAAAUGCUUAGAUAUUACACAGAACACCGAUUGCGUAGGCAGCUUGCUAAACCGUGAUUGACGCUGAGGCACGAAAGCGUGGGGAGCAAACAGG